rnacentral:rRNA from 1 species
AUUGAACGCUGGCGGCAGGCUUAACACAUGCAAGUCGAGCGGAGUGAUGGUGCUUGCACCAUCACUUAGCGGCGAACGGGUGAGUAAUGCCUAGGAAUCUGCCCAUUAGCGGGGGACAACGUGUGGAAACGCACGCUAAUACCGCAUACGCCCUACGGGGGAAAGCAGGGGACUCUUUGAGCCUUGCACUAAUGGAUGAGCCUAGGUCAGAUUAGCUAGUUGGUGGGGUAAAGGCCUACCAAGGCGACGAUCUGUAGCGGGUCUGAGAGGAUGAUCCGCCACACUGGAACUGAGACACGGUCCAGACUCCUACGGGAGGCAGCAGUGGGGAAUAUUGGACAAUGGGCGCAAGCCUGAUCCAGCCAUGCCGCGUGUGUGAAGAAGGCCUUUUGGUUGUAAAGCACUUUAAGCGAGGAGGAGGCUUACCUGGUUAAUACCUGGGAUAAGUGGACGUUACUCGCAGAAUAAGCACCGGCUAACUCUGUGCCAGCAGCCGCGGUAAUACAGAGGGUGCGAGCGUUAAUCGGAAUUACUGGGCGUAAAGCGCGCGUAGGCGGUUUGUUAAGUCGGAUGUGAAAUCCCCGGGCUCAACCUGGGAAUUGCAUUCGAUACUGGCAAGCUAGAGUAUGGGAGAGGAAGGUAGAAUUCCAGGUGUAGCGGUGAAAUGCGUAGAGAUCUGGAGGAAUACCGAUGGCGAAGGCAGCCUUCUGGCCUAAUACUGACGCUGAGGUGCGAAAGCAUGGGGAGCAAACAGGAUUAGAUACCCUGGUAGUCCAUGCCGUAAACGAUGUCAACUAGCCGUUGGGGGAUUUGAUCCUUUAGUGGCGCAGCUAACGCGAUAAGUUGACCGCCUGGGGAGUACGGUCGCAAGACUAAAACUCAAAUGAAUUGACGGGGACCCGCACAAGCGGUGGAGCAUGUGGUUUAAUUCGAUGCAACGCGAAGAACCUUACCUGGUCUUGACAUAGUGAGAAUCUUUCAGAGAUGAGAGAGUGCCUUCGGGAAUUCACAUACAGGUGCUGCAUGGCUGUCGUCAGCUCGUGUCGUGAGAUGUUGGGUUAAGUCCCGCAACGAGCGCAACCCUUUUCCUUAUUUGCCAGCACUUUUAGGUGGGAACUCUAAGGAUACUGCCAGUGACAAACUGGAGGAAGGCGGGGACGACGUCAAGUCAUCAUGGCCCUUACGACCAGGGCUACACACGUGCUACAAUGGUCGGUACAAAGGGUUGCUACACAGCGAUGUGAUGCUAAUCUCAAAAAGCCGAUCGUAGUCCGGAUUGGAGUCUGCAACUCGACUCCAUGAAGUCGGAAUCGCUAGUAAUCGCGGAUCAGAAUGCCGCGGUGAAUACGUUCCCGGGCCU